rnacentral:rRNA from 1 species
UACGUAGGCAGCGAGCGUUGUUCGGAGUUACUGGGCGUAAAGGGUGUGUAGGCGGUUGUUUAAGUUUGGUGUGAAAUCUCCCGGCUCAACUGGGAGGGUGCGCCGAAUACUGAAUGACUUCGAGUGCGGGAGAGGAGAGUGGAAUUCCUGGUGUAGCGGUGAAAUGCGUAGAUAUCAGGAGGAACACCGGCGGUGUAGACGGCUCUCUGGACCGUAACUGACGCUGAGACACGAAAGCGUGGGUAGCAAACAGG